UCCAACUGAACACUUCUACUAGUCAAGGUCUUUUAGUUGUGCAAUGAAACUUCCCUGCCCUCUCCUAUCCCCAUGUACCCCCUAAAUCUGUUAUGGUUCCAUUGUGCAGCCAAAAUAUCUUGAAUAGCAGAAGUGUUUAGUUGGA